CUGCACUUGCUUCGGAUUGAUAAAGUGGACGUGGGUGUCGAUCGCACCGGCCGUCACAAUCCGGCCCUCACCAGCGAUGAUUUCCGUGGAUGCUCCGAUGAUGAUGUCGACAUUGUCCAUGACAAGCGGGUUUCCGGCCUUUCCGAUACCGGCAAUUCGGCCGUCCUUGAUGGCAAUGUCCGCUUUCACGAUGCCCGUAUAGUCAAGGAUCACGGCAUUCGUAAUCACGACAUCCGCGGCCCCGUCAGCCCUUGUCGCGAGCGGGUGCUGGCCCAUCCCGUCACGG
rnacentral:sRNA from 1 species